AGAGUUUGAUCCUGGCUCAGGAUGAACGCUAGCUACAGGCUUAACACAUGCAAGUCGAGGGGAAACGACACGGUAGCUUGCUACUGUGGGCGUCGACCGGCGCACGGGUGAGUAACGCGUAUCCAACCUGCCCCGAGGUAAGGAAUAAUCCGUAGAAAUGCGGUCUAAUACCUUAUGUGUUCCGAAGAGGACAUCUGAUUUGGAAUAAAGAUUUAUCGCCUUAGGAUGGGGAUGCGUCUGAUUAGAUUGUUGGCGGGGUAACGGCCCACCAAGUCAUCGAUCAGUAGGGGUUCUGAGAGGAAAGUCCCCCACAUUGGAACUGAGCCAGGAUCAAACUCU
rnacentral:rRNA from 1 species